CCUGGCCCGCGAAAGGAACUUGUGUUUAUGAUCCCAAUGGGUUUACUCCCAUAGUGCUUCGUUAUCUCAGUGUAUACAAAGUUGCACAGUGAAGCUUCUCAUUUUGCAAUAAGUGAGAGAUCUAAGUGAUGCGAUGAAAGAAUUUUUAGAACACGUGAAUGGCCUGGGAGAAAUAAAGCAAUAAACGCUGGAGGAUGCUGAAGGAAAAAUUGAAAAUAAAUACGCUUAUCGAUCUACGUGUUCAUCGCGGACGGAAAUCAAGGGCGAUAGAGUCAGAUUGAAUGCGCAGCGUUGAACGCAGCCAAACAGGCGAGAACGAAUGACAAUACCAUGAAAAAGCAAUUAACGGGUACUACACAGCUGAAG